rnacentral:rRNA from 1 species
UACAGAGGGUGCGAGCGUUGUUCGGAAUUACUGGGCGUAAAGCGUGCGCAGGCGGUGAGCUGUGUCCGAUGUGAAAGCCCCGGGCUUAACCUGGGAAUGGCAUUGGAAACUGGCUCGCUGGAGUGUGGCAGAGGGGGGUGGAAUUCCGCGUGUAGCAGUGAAAUGCGUAGAGAUGCGGAGGAACACCGAUGGCGAAGGCAGCCCCCUGGGCUAACACUGACGCUCAGGCACGAAAGCGUGGGGAGCAAACAGG